rnacentral:lncRNA from 1 species
UAAGGGAGGAGGUACUGGAGUCAUCUUAGGGAUGCAGCCUUUAGCUGUUGGAAAGUAUUUGAGUGUUUAAGACUUUUAAUAUGGGGGAGGGGCUGAUAAAAUCAUUUGUGAUGAGAAUCUUUAUUUUAGUUUUUAUAGGCCUGGGGGGAGGCCUAGUCAAGAAGAGGGUUAAGAGGAGCCUGACUAGAAUUUGAUCAAAGAGAUUCUUUGUUAAUUUUCAUUUUGUAUUCAGUAUGCUAUCUGGGCAAAGAAAUAAUUGUACUAUAAGCUUUAGAACUUCACAUUUGUGAGUAAAGUAGGGGAUAAGUAGAAGUUGAGAGGAUUGGGGAAGUUGGCAGUUUGUAUCUGUUCAGAGUUUGAAAUCUGUCAAAUAGCUGAGGUUUUUAGAAAAAAGGAUCAUUGGGAAAUUUGUAUUUUAUUCAUCUUUUAAACAGUAUUCAUGCCAGGCUACAAGGAUUGUUUUCUACUUAUCUUACAUUGCAUAUCUUCAAUUACAGAUUUGAAAAAUGCUUCCUCUCUGGUUAAGACAAUUCUGAGCAGAAGCCAGAAACACCUGCGGUUUAGACAUGCUCUUCCACCUCUCUGAGCACUUCUUAGAAAACUCUGAGAAGGUGACUGAAGGGUCGGGGUGCUGCUUCUUUUGCUCCUCCAGGUAAGUUUGCAUGAAGAAUGCAUAUGAUGGCAGCUUGCCUCUCGGCUACUUAGGAUCUCCUUUGCCUAUCUAGUUUUCUCCCUCAGCGAGGCACAGAGUUGCCCAGUGUCCAUCUGAUUCCCACUUGCCCUAGCUCUAUCUCUGUGGAGCUCAAUGUACUGCAGUGGCUGUGAGAGAGGCAGCCAGAUGCAGCCUCCUCUCUUUUUCCGCUCUGUAACAUUCUAGUAUCAUGGUUUAAAUUAGACUGCAUACAAUGUCUAUGUAAAUGACUGCCGAGGAAAAAGUUAGAAUGUAGUACAUGGAAAAUUUAAUUUUGAUAGUCCUGGAGUAUGAGUAAUUUGAGAGAUUUUAUUUUCACAGAGUUACAUUAAUUAAUGUAAUUGUACAAAUUACAAAUUUUCAAACAAGGUCACUGUAUGUUUGUCAGAUUUUGAAAAGUGGUUAGUUUCUUUCUGAAAUGAGCAAAAUAAAGUGAACUGGAGCUUGCA